UACGGAGAGUGCAAGCAUUAAUCGGAAUUAUUGGGCGUAAAGGGCGCGUAGGCGGGAGAGACAGUCAGAUGUGAAAUUCCGGAGCUCAACUUCGGAGCUGCAUUUGAAACUAUUCACCUAGAGGAUUGGCGGAGGAAACGGAAUUCCACGUGUAGCGGUGAAAUGCGUAGAUAUGUGGAAGAACACCUGUGGCGAAAGCGGUUUUCUAGCUUAUUCCUAACGCUGAGGCGCGAGAGCAAGGGGAGCAAACAGG
rnacentral:rRNA from 1 species